rnacentral:lncRNA from 1 species
CCGGUACAGAGUCAAUGUGGAGGCUAUAUACAGGGGGUAACGGUACAGAGUCAAUGUGGAGGCUAUAUACAGGGGGUACCGGUACAGAGUCAAUGUGGAGGCUAUAUACAGGGGUUACCGGUACAGAGUCAAUGUGGAGGCUAUACAGGGGGUACCGGUACAGAGUCAAUGUGGAGGUAUAUACAGGGGGUACCGGUACAGAGUCAAUGUGGAGGCUAUAUACAGGGGGGACCGGUACAGAGUCAAUGUGGAGGC